rfam:Pteropus alecto contig163064, whole genome shotgun sequence.
GGUUCCAUAGUGCGGCGGUUAGCACAUCUGCUUUACACGCAGAAGGUCCUGGGUUUGUGCCCCAGUGGAGCCA